GAUGAACGCUGGCGGCGUGCCUAAUACAUGCAAGUCGAGCGAACGGACGAGAAGCUUGCUUCUCUGAUGUUAGCGGCGGGCGGGUGAGUAACACGUGGAUAACCUACCUAUAAGACUGGGAUAACUUCGGGAAACCGGAGCUAAUACCGGAUAAUAUUUUGAACCGCAUGGUUCAACAGUGAAAGACGGUCUUGCUGUCACUUAUAGAUGGAUCCGCGCUGCAUUAGCUAGUUGGUAAGGUAACGGCUUACCAAGGCAACGAUGCAUAGCCGACCUGAGAGGGUGAUCGGCCACACUGGAACUGAGACACGGUCCAGACUCCUACGGGAGGCAGCAGUAGGGAAUCUUCCGCAAUGGGCGAAAGCCUGACGGAGCAACGCCGCGUGAGUGAUGAAGGUCUUCGGAUCGUAAAACUCUGUUAUUAGGGAAGAACAUAUGUGUAAGUAACUGUGCACAUCUUGACGGUACCUAAUCAGAAAGCCACGGCUAACUACGUG
rnacentral:rRNA from 1 species